rnacentral:rRNA from 1 species
AUUGAACGCUGGCGGCAGGCUUAACACAUGCAAGUCGAGCGGGGUGAUGGUGCUUGCACUAUCACUUAGCGGCGGACGGGUGAGUAAUGCUUAGGAAUCUGCCUAUUAGUGGGGGACAACAUCUCGAAAGGGAUACUAAUACCGCAUACGUCCUACGGGAGAAAGCAGGGGAUCACUUGUGACCUUGCGCUAAUAGAUGAGCCUAAGUCGGAUUAGCUGGUUGGUGGGGUAAAGGCCUACCAAGGCGACGAUCUGUAGCGGGUCUGAGAGGAUGAUCCGCCACACUGGGACUGAGACACGGCCCAGACUCCUACGGGAUGCAGCAGUGGGGAAUAUUGGACAAUGGGGGGAACCCUGAUCCAGCCAUGCCGCGUGUGUGAAGAAGGCCUUAUGGUUGUAAAGCACUUUAAGCGAGGAGGAGGCUCUUUUGGUUAAUACCCAAGAUGAGUGGACGUUACUCGCAGAAUAAGCACCGGCUAACUCUGUGCCAGCCGCCGCCGUAA